rnacentral:rRNA from 1 species
GACGUAGGGGGCAAGCGUUGUCCGGAUUUAUUGGGCGUAAAGAGCGUGUAGGCGGCCUGAAAGGUCAGCUGUGAAAACUCGAGGCUCAACCUCGAGACGUCGGUUGAAACCAUCUGGCUAGAGUCCGGAAGAGGAGUGUGGAAUUCCCGGUGUAGCGGUGAAAUGCGCAGAUAUCGGGAAGAACACCCGUGGCGAAGGCGGUUCUCUGGGCAUUACCUGACGCUGAGGAGCGAAAGUGUGGGGGGCGAACAGG